rnacentral:rRNA from 1 species
UUGCCCCGAAGCUUCUAGAUUACGCGAAGACCUUACCUAGGCUUGACAGUUGGGGAAAUCUGGCAGAGAUGCCAGGUCCGUAAGGGCCCCAAAACAGGUGGUGCAUGGCUGUCGUCAGCUCGUGUCGUGAGAUGUUGGGUUAAGUCCCGCAACGAGCGCAACCCUCGUCGUAUGUUGCCAGCGGAUAAUGCCGGGGACUCAUACGAGACUGCCGGGGUCAACUCGGAGGAAGGUGGGGACGACGUCAAGUCAUCAUGCCCCUUAUGUCUAGGGCUGCACGCAUGCUACAAUGGCCGGUACAAAGGGCUGCGAUACCGCGAGGUGGAGCGAAUCCCAUAAAGCCGGUCUCAGUUCGGAUUGGGGUCUGCAACUCGACCCCAUGAAGUCGGAGUCGCUAGUAAUCGCAGAUCAGCAACGCUGCGGUGAAUACGUUCCCGGGUCUUGUA